AGAGUUUGAUCCUGGCUCAGAUUGAACGCUGGCGGCAUGCCUAACACAUGCAAGUCGAGCGGCAGCGCGGGGGCGACCCUGGCGGCGAGCGGCGGACGGGUGAGUAAGGCAUCGGAAUCUGCCCUGAUGUGGGGGAUAACGUAGGGAAACUUACGCUAAUACCGCAUACGACCGAGAGGUGAAAGCGGGGGACCGAAAGGCCUCGCGCAGCAGGAUGAGCCGAUGUCCGAUUAGCUAGUUGGUGGGGUAACGGACCGUACCCAACGGCGGACGAUCGGUAGCUGGUCUGAGAGGAGUGAUCAG
rnacentral:rRNA from 1 species